rnacentral:lncRNA from 1 species
GUAAAUGAAAGUGUCAGGCUCGUGUGAGAUGCAUGGCUUUGACAAGAGCAGCCGCGGGGGUCUGCGCGCUGCAGGGCGGGCAAGGACCGCAGCGAGCGCCGCAGGACUCGGACCCACCCCAGUUUUUAAUUGCUGCCGUGAUGCAACCCGCAGCUCCCGGGACUGCAGCUCGUCACGGGGAGGACCAACUGCCUUGAGCCCGGUGGACUUUUAUGUCCCUCACAAGAGUGACUUGUUAUAGCUACAAAGAGCAUGAAAAAUGAAGCAUGAAGGAAAGCACAAGAUUAUGUUAAAUGAUGAGCAUC